UGUAGUAUAGUGUAGUGUAGUGUAGUGUAUAAUGUAGUGUAGUGUUGUGUUAUGUAGUGUAGUGUAGUGCAGUGUUAUGUAGUGUAGUGUAGUGUAUAAUGUAGUGUAGUGUUGUGUAGUGUAUAAUGUAGUGUAGUGUAUAAUGUAGUGUAGUGUGUAGUGUAUAAUGUAGUGUUAUGUUGUGUUAUGUUGUGUAGUGUAGUGUGUAGUGUAUAAUGUAGUGUAGUGUGUAGUGUACUGUAGUGUAGUGUUAUGUUGUGUAGUGUGUAGUGUACUGUAGUGUAGUGUUAUGUAGUGUAUAAUGUAGUGUUGUGUAGUGUAGUGUGUAGUGUAGUGUGUAGUGUAUAAUGUAGUGUUAUGUUGUGUAGUGUAGUGUGUAGUGUACUGUAGUGUACUGUAGUGUUAUGUAGUGUAUAAUGUAGUGUUGUGUAGUGUGUAGUGUACUGUAGUGUAGUGUUAUGUAGUGUAUAAUGUAGUGUUGUGUGUAGUGUGUAGUCAUGUUAUGUAGUGUUAUAUGUAAUUAUAUGUAGUGUAGUGUAGUGUUAUGUAGUGUAUAAUGUAGUGUAGUGUAGUGUGUAGUGUUAUGUAGUGUGUAUAAUGUAGUGUAGUGUGUAGUGUAUAAUGUAGUGUAGUGUUAUGUAGUGUAUAAUGUAGUGUUAUGUAGUGUGUAGUGUAUAAUGUAGUGUAGUGUGUAGUGUAGUGUUAUGUAGUGUAUAAUGUAGUGUAGUGUGUAGUGUUAUGUAGUGUGUAUAAUGUAGUGUAGUGUGUAGUGUAUAAUGUAGUGUAGUGUUAUGUAGUGUAUAAUGUAGUGUUAUGUAGUGUGUAGUGUAUAAUGUAGUGUAGUGUGUAGUGUAGUGUUAUGUAGUGUAGUGUGUAGUGUAGUUGUGUAGUGUAUAAUGUAGUGUAGUGUGUAGUGUAGUGUUAUGUAGUGUAGUGUGUAGUGUAUAAUGUAGUGUAGUGUGUAGUGUAGUGUUAUGUUGUGUAGUGUGUAGUGUAUAAUGUAGUGUAGUGUUAUGUAGUGUAGUGUA
ensembl:lncRNA